rnacentral:rRNA from 1 species
GACGAACGCUGGCGGCGUGCCUAAUACAUGCAAGUCGAGCGGACAGAUGGGAGCUUGCUCCCUGAUGUUAGCGGCGGACGGGUGAGUAACACGUGGGUAACCUGCCUGUAAGACUGGGAUAACUCCGGGAAACCGGGGCUAAUACCGGAUGGUUGUUUGAACCGCAUGGUUCAGACAUAAAAGGUGGCUUCGGCUACCACUUACAGAUGGACCCGCGGCGCAUUAGCUAGUUGGUGAGGUAACGGCUCACCAAGGCAACGAUGCGUAGCCGACCUGAGAGGGUGAUCGGCCACACUGGGACUGAGACACGGCCCAGACUCCUACGGGAGGCAGCAGUAGGGAAUCUUCCGCAAUGGACGAAAGUCUGACGGAGCAACGCCGCGUGAGUGAUGAAGGUUUUCGGAUCGUAAAGCUCUGUUGUUAGGGAAGAACAAGUACCGUUCGAA